rnacentral:rRNA from 1 species
GACGAACGCUGGCGGCGUGCUUAACACAUGCAAGUCGAACGGAAAGGCCCUGCUUGUGUGGGGUGCUCGAGGGGCGAACGGGUGAGUAACACGUGAGUAACCUGCCCUUGACGUUGGGAUAACUUCAGGCAACUGGGGCUAAUACCGGAUAGGAGCUCCUGCUGCAUGGUGGGGGUUGGAAAGUUUCGGCGGUUGGGGAUGGACUCGCGGCUUAUCAGCUUGUUGGUGGGGGAGUGGCUUACCAAGGCUUUGGCGGGUAGCCGGCCUGAGAGGGUGGCCGGCCACCUUGGUACUACGAUACGGCCCAGUCUCCUACGGGGGGCAGCAGUCGGGAAUAUUGCACAAUGGGCGGAAGCCUGAUGCAGCAGCGCCGCGUGCGGGAUGACGGCCUUCGGGUUGUAAACCGCUUUCGCCUGUGACGAAGCGUGAGUGACGGUACUGGGUAAAGAAGCACCGGCUAACUACGUG